AUCAAGUUUUCAUUAAACAUUUCAUUUUACUUUUUGUACGUAGCGUAGGUACCUACUUAUUUAUGUAAUUGAUGUUCUAAUAAGAUGCAGAUUUUGAAGGUAGCUAAAUUAAUUGAAAUUUUCUUGGCAACGAAAAACUAAAUUUGCAAGUAGUUAAAUUUAGUUGCAUAUAAAUUGCUUGAUUUUUCCCAAAAUCUGUUUAGAGUAAAAGAAACAUGAAUUUCUGGUAUACGUCUAUUUUUGAAAUAUUUUUGAUAGCUCUCGUUACGGGAGCAGUUGUGCCCACAACCGACGAUGUAGACGAACAAGGAUUGUACCGUAAGUCAGAUCAAGUCGAAAUCUUGACUAAUAAAAAUUUCGAAAAGAAAUUAUACGGCCAAAAUAAUGCUCUGUUGGUUCAGUUUUAUAAUAGUUACUGCGGUCAUUGCCGAGCGUUUUCACCGAAAUAUAAAGCACUCGCAUCUGACAUAGCUCGUUGGAAAAAAGUUAUUAAGUUAGCUGUUAUUGAUUGUUUUGUUGAAGAAAAUAGUGAAAUAUGUAGACAAUUUGAAGUAAUGGCAUACCCUUCCAUACGAUACUUCCACGAAAAUUAUAUGAAGAGCAACUCAAAUGUUGGAGAAAAAAUGAACAUUGCGGAUACCGCAGAAAGACUUAAAAAUCAAUUGAUUAUAAAAUUACAGGCAGAACAAUCUAUGGGACGUCUAAUAAUUGCUCCAUCAUUUAAGAUUGAAUCAUAUACAUCCUAUGCAUCUGCAUUACAAAGUGUACCUGGUGACAUUGACUACAUAUUUUUAGUAUUUGAAAAUGAUAAUUCAACUAUUGGAUCACAAAUAGCUUUAGAUGUUGUUGACUAUAAAAAAGUGAGAGUUAAGAGAGUAUAUGAAAAUAGUGAAUUAGCUCAAGUUGCUGGAGUUAAAAAAAUUCCAAGUGUAGUUGCUCUAGAAAAUAAUUUACAAGCCACAUUACUAACACCCAAACAGCCCACUGCACAAAAUAUAUUAGAAGAGAUAGAUAGAUUUUUGAAAUCAAAAAAUUAUGUCUUUCCUCCGAAAUAUGCCAACAUGAAUGAUAUCAGUGAUAGUUCUCAACAGAGAACAUUUGUGCCAACCUCUGAUGUUGCAUACUAUAAUGAUCUAGAAAAAACUUUAAAGGCAAGCUUGCACACUGAAAUCACAAGGCACAAAACAUUAACAGGUGAACCAUUGCAGGCUUUAUUAGACUACUUGGAUGUUAUUAAAACUUCGUUUCCAUUUAGAGCCAAUCUUGGAGAAUAUAUAAUGGACUUACAUGCUACUUUAGCAGCAAGAAACAGCUGGACAGGUGGUGAAGUCUAUGAUUUAGUAAAAAGACUAGAAACUGCUCAUGAACCAGUUUAUAUUACUAAUUUAGAGUAUGUUGGAUGCAAAGGAAGUGAACCUAAAUACAGAGGUUAUACAUGUGGACUGUGGACAUUGUUCCAUACUCUGACAGUCAACGCAGCACAAAAACCAGGUUCUGAAGGACCUAAAGUUCUUAAAGCAAUGCAUGGAUAUGUCAAAAACUUCUUUGGGUGUACUGAAUGUGCUUCACAUUUUCAAGCAAUGGCAGCACGUAACAGAAUAUUUGAUGUCAAAGAGAAUAAUAAAGCGGUUUUGUGGCUUUGGAUUUCUCAUAAUGAAGUAAACCUUAGACUUGCGGGUGAUGUCACAGAAGACCCUGAACAUCCGAAAAUUCAGUUUCCCAGUGCCACUAAAUGCCCUGAAUGCAGACUAGCUCAAGGAGCAUGGAAUCUAGUAGCAGUGUAUGACUAUCUUCAAAAGAUGUAUGGUGCCAACAACAUCAAAGAUGUAAGAAGAGCACAAGUGUCAUCUGCUUCCAGCACCUUCUCCAAUUUGGACAUCGGGAUGUUAAGUCUUUUGAUUGCGAGUUACAUCAUUAUCAACUUGAGCUAACUGGAAAGAAACAACCUAGAAGCACUUUGUGGUCUGGGAUAACUAUUAUGUUUUGGUCAACGACGUGACUCUUAAAAUACGCAGGUCGCCAAGAUGACUACUUUUAAGAUCACGGUCUUUCGCUUUCAUCACAGACUCAUUAUAAUUUUAUAACGAAAUGAAAAUAGGCUCAUAGUUUGCAUUUCAAAUAAGACGCUGAGCGAAUUAAUUUCCCUACCUAUUACAUUAGCUUUUUUCAUCUGUUUAACGCAAUACUAAUUUCCGUAAAAGCCAAAUAUCUAAAACCGCUAACGUAAAUCUAUUUUAUUUAAAUCUAUAACAUUGUUACUAAUAUAUAGGUCUACCGCUAAAGAUCCGCUAAGAAAGGAACCUCUUUCACGGAGGAUGUGAACUUUGGCUUUCAUUGUAAACGAUACGGUUUCAUCAAUAUUUCUUAGACACUUACCAGCAACCCUAAAUGUUUUGAAUAGUUAUCAUGGUUUUAUCCACAAUCUUGCGAUUUCUUAUGACUGCAUCACAUAACCUUAUUGUUAAUCUUGUGACAGUAAUAAAAAAUAAAAGUAACAUAUUUUUUUUAAAUAUAAUUUAUUAUGCAUUAAAUGUUUGCAUGUGCGUUUCAAGGUUACAUACACUUCGUCACCACUCCGCAAAGUAGUGUACUGUACAGCGUCUCAGUUAAACAACAGGCCUAUUGUGAUAAAAAUAUAUACAUAAUUAUGUUAUAUAAUAAUUUAAGCUACAUUAUUUUGUUGAUUGUCAAUAAAUAUAUGUGGGAACUAUAAUUUGAUUUUAUUGUAACAUCAUCGGAGCAUAAAGGGGUUUAAUAAAAACAAAAAGCAAAUAUUUUAGGUAUUAAUUUAUUGAAUAUAUUAUUACGUAAUAAAACCACGGUACACAUACACUGUAAUAAAAAAAGCCACACAGAUCAUUAUUUAGUGCCACGCAGAAGAACAAAAAAAAAAU
rnacentral:misc_RNA from 1 species